ACUGUAACUUCCAAAAGACUUAAAACUUGAUUCCUGACAGUUGGUCUUGAUAUCUCUCCCCAUUUUAUGUAACAGAACCAAGACUUUGCUACAGCAUUUUCCUAGAUUGUAUAUGAUUUACUACUUUUUCCAGACAACCUCAUCAAAAUAUUACACUGUGUCACUGUUACAUCAUCAUCAUCAUUAUUAUUAUUAUUAUUAUUAUUAUUAUUAUUAUUAUUAUUAU